rnacentral:rRNA from 1 species
UUGGGGAAUAUUCCGCAAUGGACGAAAGUCUGACGGAGCAACGCCGCGUGAGUGAUGAAGGUUUUCGGACUGUAAAGCUCUGUUGUUUAGGACGAAAGUGCCUGUUGCAAAUAGUUACAGGUAUUGACGGUACUGAACGAGGAAGCCACGGCUAACUACGUGCCAGCAGCCGCGGUAAUACGUAGGUGGCAAGCGUUGUCCGGAAUUAUUGGGCGUAAAGAGCAUGUAGGCGGGAAUCUAAGUCUGUUGUGAAAAUGCGGGGCUCAACCCCGUAUUGCGAUGGAAACUGGGUUUCUUGAGUGCAGGAGAGGAAAGGGGAAUUCCCAGUGUAGCGGUGAAAUGCGUAGAUAUUGGGAGGAACACCAGUGGCGAAGGCGCCUUUCUGGACUGUGUCUGACGCUGAGAUGCGAAAGCCAGGGUAGCGAACGGGAUUAGAUACCCUGGUAGUCC